rnacentral:tRNA from 1 species
GAGGGUAUAGCUCAGUAGUAGAGUGCAUGCCUAGCAUGCACAAAGUCCUGGGUUCAAUCCCCAGUACCUCCA